AGCAGGAAGCACUCAGAGCAUCAAGACCCUCCACCAGAGCACCACUUCCUUUAUAGUUUAGCCACCACCACUGCUAGUAGAAUAGCCGAGAAGGCGCUUAGUUUGCCAAGAAUUUGAAGGUAAUUUUCUAGUUGUGUGUAAUCCCUUCGGGGCCUCCUGAAAGGGAAAACCAUAUGUAAUUGUUGAAAUGAUGUAGUUUCUUGGUUUCACUUAGUGCUUUUAUUUAUGAAUUUAUGGGACGGGUUUUUAUGCUAGGGAUCCUAUAGGAGAAACAUCUGCGUGCGUAGUUCUCUGUGUAGCCCAGAGUGGCAUUUCAAUGAGAACCUUAUGGCCGUAGAGAAGUGUUCCCUUCGGGUGGAACUGCCUGGGAAGACGAUUGGAAUUUACCCCAUAAAUUUGUAAUUAAAACUGCUAAGUGAAUGUAACUAGCUACAUCUGAUACAACAUAAUGAUAAAUAUGGUGAGUACUGAGUAGGAUUUUACACCACUACGUACAUUCGUCGGUUGAUUUGUUGCCCUCGCCAGCCUAGAAUAGAUCCUGUAUCAAAUAAAUAAUCUAGUUAGAACGUGAAGAUAAUCAUAUUGAAUUAAAUACUAUUCCAAAUAGUGUUUUAAAUAGUAAAGCACUUUCGUGAAUAGUGCCCUACCUAGUGAAUAGUAAAUACUAUUUAAGAUAAAAAUAGUAAAUACUAUUUAAGAUAAAAAGUACGUCAUGUCUACCACUUUCACCUAAUCACAUAUUAACCUAAUCAAAAUCUUAAUUAAUAUUGAUUAGAAUAUAUUAGUAAAAUUUUAUAUCAUAUAUAUAUGUAUGUAUGUAUGUAUUGACCCACUUUUUAAAAUUAGAUGUGGCAAAUGCGGGAUGAACUCCUACCACAUAAUCGCAUACGAGCUAUUCUAGAGGAAUUGGUGGGAUUCUUUCUUCACCACGUCAUACAUAUAGCCGAAGAAUACCAUGUUAAAAUUGAUAUAGACCUUAGAUGUUAAGGUUUGUAAGAGAUCUUAUAUUGUAUAUAUGUAGCUAGUAGAGUCGGACAGAUAUAUGAAAACUUGUUGUUCGACCAAUCUCAUGGAGAAAGAGAAGUCACUUCUCUCUGUAUAUGUUCAUGACGAUCUUGUGUAUUUAAUGGUUUCUUCAUUUGCUUACUGGCUAGUGUGUCGAGUUCUCUUUAUAUGUACAAUAGCUAGCGUCACCCAAGCACGGAGAUAAAGAGAGGUCACUUCUCUCUAUUAGCUAGCUAACACAAUAUAUGAAACCCCUAAAUUAACCCUCCAAAACCCCUAACCCCCGUCCUUUAAAAACAAAAAAACCAUAUCUCCUACCAGCUGCUGACGCGUGGAGGUCUUUUGGUCCCGGUUGGUAUUACCAACCGGGACUAAAGGUCCUCCUACCUAGGCACUCCGCAGCGGCCACAUGGAGCCCCUUCUGUCCUAGUUCACUCAUAAGCAAACCGGAACUUAAAGUUUUAGGCUUUAGUCCCGAUCCUUUAGUUCCGGUUCUAGAACUGGAGCUAAAUGAUGUCUGAAACCGGGACAAAUGGGUCGUUUUCUAAAAGUGUCUGCAUUAAGGCAAAUGACCACACGGACUGAUCUCGACUACAUCAAGCCGAACUACACCGGGCCGAACCACGACAUUAAGCUGUACGACCAUAACAAACCACAAGUCAAGAUCAUCGCCGAGCACACUACGAGAAGCAAUAUCGACAUGCAUUGCCCACACACCAAGACGGUGUGGAACGGGAUGCAACCUUCAUCGACUUCUCGGGCGCGACACCACAUCGACACUUGGUUGCGGCGAGGGACGUCUUCAAGCGACACAUUAUCGUUGACACGCCGCUGCGACGCCAUCGCCUACACUUCAUCACUAAGGUCUUCAUCAACGUGGUCUUCACCAACAUCUUCGUCAACACACCGCCGCUGUCUUGUCCACAAGAUGGGCACCUAGCAUCCUCUGACAGACUUUUCUGCAAGACGCGACCAUGACGACGGCAAUGACCGCGUCACGAUGUCGGCAUCGACCGCGUCAUCCACGACAACACAACUGCAUCGACACGGCGUCACUACAGUGACGACCGUACACGACCACACGGUUCUGGCAAAACCGAUAUGUGCUCGAUGGGCUUCCUCCGGUCUUCGCAAAAUCGGCGGACUCGUCGCCGACGGCACCCUCUGAUAUCUGCAAGGUGCAUCAUCCACGAUCCGCGUCGUCAGCAGCGUUCACGCCACUCCCGCUGUGACUGCGGGAGGGAAGAGGGGAGAGACAAGGAAGACACCAGAAGGGGACGCAGUCACCGCCCUACGUGCUGACCCAUCAGAAACGUAGUUGACGAUGGCGCAGCGAAGAAGACGACAAAAGCAGAAGACUUCAAAUUCAGUCGUACUCGUCCGCUUCACUCCCGCUACGACUUGAGGCGGAAUGUUAGAAUAUAAAUAUGCUUAGUUAGAGAUAAGGCGAGAGAUGGAGAUAGAAUUAGUUUUAAUAUACUAUGACUUGUCUUGUACUUCAAGUCACCACACGUUGUACUCUAUAUAUACCCCUACAAGGGUCAGAUCAAUAAUACAACACAAUAUCCAUUCAUCCUA